rnacentral:tRNA from 1 species
GCCUCUCUAGUUUAGUAGGGAGAACAAUGGGAAACCAUAGGGGCGGUUCGAGUCCGUAAAGAGGCA